rnacentral:rRNA from 1 species
UACGUAGGGUGCGAGCGUUGUCCGGAAUUACUGGGCGUAAAGAGCUCGUAGGUGGUUUGUCGCGUUGUUCGUGAAAACUCACAGCUUAACUGUGGGCGUGCGGCGAUACGGGCAGACUGGAGUACUGCAGGGGAGACUGGAAUUCUGGUGUAGCGGUGAAUGCGCAGAUAUCAGGAGGAACACCGGUGGCGAAGGCGGGUCUCUGGGCAACAACGUGACGCUGGAGGAGCGAAAGCGUGGGGAGCGAACAGG